AUUGAACGCUGGCGGCAGGCCUAACACAUGCAAGUCGAACGAGUGGCGGAAGGGUGAGUAAUGUCUGGGAAACUGCCGGAUGGAGGGGGAUACCUACUGGAAACGGUAGCUAAUACCGCAUACCAUCGGAUGUGCCCAGAUGGGCUUAGCGAGUAGGUGGGGUAAAGGCUCACCUAGGGGACGAUCCCUAGAUGGUCUGAGAGGAUGACCAGCCACACUGGAACUGAGACACGGUCCAGACUCCUACGGGAGGCAGCAGUGGGGAAUAUUGCACAAUGGGCGCAAGCCUGAUGCAGCCAUGCCGCGUUUAUGAAGAAGGCCUUCGGGUUGUAAAGUACUUGCAGCGGGGAGGCGUUACCCGAAGAAGAAGCACCGGCUAACUCCGUGCCAGCAGCCGCGGUAAUAC
rnacentral:rRNA from 1 species